rnacentral:piRNA from 1 species
AAUGCCAAGAAGUCGGACAUCCCU